rnacentral:rRNA from 1 species
CACGUAGGCGGUGCCAUAAGUCGGUUGUGAAAUCCCUCGGCCUAACCGAGGAACUGCGGCCGAUACUGUGGUGCUUGAGGACCAGAGGGGUGCAUAGAAUUUCCGGUGGAGCGGUGAAAUGCGUUGAUAUCGGAAGGAACUCCGGCGGCGAAAGCGAUGCACUGGCUGGUUUCUGACGCUGAGGUGCGAAAGCCAGGGGAGCAAACGGGAUUAGAUACCCCGGUAGUCCUGGCCGUAAACGAUGGGUACUAGGUAGGGGGAUUUCAAACGUCUCUCUGCUGGAGUGAAUAUUUAAGUACCCGCCUGGGAAGUACAGUCGCAAGGCUGAA